rnacentral:rRNA from 1 species
AUGCAGUCGAGCGAACAGACGAGGAGCUUGCUCCUCUGACGUUAGCGGCGGACGGGUGAGUAACACGUGGAUAACCUACCUAUAAGACUGGGAUAACUUCGGGAAACCGGAGCUAAUACCGGAUAAUAUAUUGAACCGCAUGGUUCAAUAGUGAAAGACGGUUUUGCUGUCACUUAUAGAUGGAUCCGCGCCGCAUUAGCUAGUUGGUAAGGUAACGGCUUACCAAGGCAACGAUGCGUAGCCGACCUGAGAGGGUGAUCGGCCACACUGGAACUGAGACACGGUCCAGACUCCUACGGGAGGCAGCAGUAGGGAAUCUUCCGCAAUGGGCGAAAGCCUGACGGAGCAACGCCGCGUGAGUGAUGAAGGUCUUCGGAUCGUAAAACUCUGUUAUUAGGGAAGAACAAAUGUGUAAGUAACUAUGCACGUCUUGACGGUACCUAAUCAGAAAGCCACGGCUAACUACGUGCCAGCAGCCGCGGUAAUACGUAGGUGGCAAGCGUUAUCCGGAAUUAUUGGGCGUAAAGCGCGCGUAGGCGGUUUUUUAAGUCUGAUGUGAAAGCCCACGGCUCAACCGUGGAGGGUCAUUGGAAACUGGAAAACUUGAGUGCAGAAGAGGAAAGUGGAAUUCCAUGUGUAGCGGUGAAAUGCGCAGAGAUAUGGAGGAACACCAGUGGCGAAGGCGACUUUCUGGUCUGUAACUGACGCUGAUGUGCGAAAGCGUGGGGAUCAAACAGGAUUAGAUACCCUGGUAGUCCACGCCGUAAACGAUGAGUGCUAAGUGUUAGGGGGUUUCCGCCCCUUAGUGCUGCAGCUAACGCAUUAAGCACUCCGCCUGGGGAGUACGACCGCAAGGUUGAAACUCAAAGGAAUUGACGGG